rnacentral:rRNA from 1 species
AGUGAACGCUGGCGGUAGGCCUAACACAUGCAAGUCGAACGGCAGCACAGUAAGAGCUUGCUCUUACGGGUGGCGAGUGGCGGACGGGUGAGGAAUACAUCGGAAUCUACUUUUUCGUGGGGGAUAACGUAGGGAAACUUACGCUAAUACCGCAUACGACCUACGGGUGAAAGCAGGGGAUCUUCGGACCUUGCGCGAUUGAAUGAGCCGGUGUCGGAUUAGCUAGUUGGCGGGGUAAAGGCCCACCAAGGCGACGAUCCGUAGCUGGUCUGAGAGGAUGAUCAGCCACACUGGAACUGAGACACGGUCCAGACUCCUACGGGAGGCAGCAGUAGGGAAUAUUGGACAAUGGGCGCAAGCCUGAUCCAGCCAUACCGCGUGAGUGAAGAAGGCCUUCGGGUUGUAAAGCCCUGUUGUUGGGAAAGAAAAGCAGCAGAUUAAUACCCCGCUGUUCUGACGGUACCUAAAGAGUAAGCACCGGCUAACUUCGUG